UUUGAUUUGUUUUAAAUUCGUGUUCUAAUAUCUUGUAACUUGAUUCAAUCAAGGGAUUGAAUCGAGGGGUUAAGGUUUGUUGGUGAGCCAAAGGGAAAACCAACAUUGUAAGGUUGUGGUUGGUGAGCCUUUGGGAAAACCAACUGGGUUGAUUGUGAACCCGGAAAACAAUCGUUGUAAGGUUGUGGUUGGUGAGCCUUUGGGAAAACCAACUGGGUUG
rnacentral:lncRNA from 1 species